rnacentral:tRNA from 1 species
GCCUGGGUGGCUCAGUCAGUUGGGCGUCUGACUUCGGCUCAGGUCAACUCUCACGGUUCAUGAGUUCAAGCCCCGUAUCGGGCU